rnacentral:rRNA from 1 species
GACGAACGCUGGCGGCGUGCCUAAUACAUGCAAGUCGAACGCAUUUUCUUUCACCGUAGCUUGCUACACCGAAAGAAAGUGAGUGGCGAACGGGUGAGUAACACGUGGGUAACCUGCCCAUCAGCGGGGGAUAACACUUGGAAACAGGUGCUAAUACCGCAUAAUUCCAUUUACCGCAUGGUAGAUGGAUGAAAGGCGCUUUUGCGUCACUGAUGGAUGGACCCGCGGUGCAUUAGCUAGUUGGUGGGGUAACGGCCUACCAAGGCUGUGAUGCAUAGCCGACCUGAGAGGGUGAUCGGCCACACUGGGACUGAGACACGGCCCAGACUCCUACGGGAGGCAGCAGUAGGGAAUCUUCGGCAAUGGACGCAAGUCUGACCGAGCAACGCCGCGUGAGUGAAGAAGGUUGUCGGAUUGUAAAACUCUGUUGUUAGAGAAGAACAAGGAUGAGAGUGGAAAGUUCAUCCCUUGACGGUAGCUAACCAGAAAGCCACGGCUAACUACGUG